AUGCACUGGUUUUCAUGGUGGAAGUUGCGUGUGCCAAAGAAAGAAGGUGAAAUGGGAUUUUGAGAUAUUCAUUCUUUUAACCUAGCUCUACUUGCGAAACAGGCUUGGAGAUUAAUGGAUAAUCCGGAUUCCAGUUGCGCCCAUCUUUUCAAAGGAAAAUAUUAUCCAAAUUGUGAUAUUUUGAAUGCAAGUCUAAAAAAGUGUGCCUCACUCACAUGUCAAAGUAUCAUGUCGGGGGGUGCAGACACUAAAAAGAGGUCAUAUAUGGAGGAUCGGUGA
rnacentral:rRNA from 1 species